rnacentral:lncRNA from 1 species
UUUUUUGGCUUACUCUAUGACUUUAAUAGAUCACAUCCUACAAUAGUUUCAUUGAAUUGAAGAGAUGUCAGGGGACUUGAUGAUGAUAUCCUCCAAAAUGCCUGUCUCUUGAGUUAUACAGCUCCACACUGGGCAAGUUUACACUUGAGACGCAGUUGUCAUCCUGAGAUCAUCCUUGAACCUCAUUUAGAGAUUCAUUUCACUCCUUUUAUCAAUAUUCUCUUUUCUGUUUCUUUUGGCUUCCUCUCUCUUGGACUACUCUAACAUUUUGAUAGAUUUCUAGUAGUUUCCAGAAAGAGUAUAUGAGAGUUAAAUUUUGUUGUGACCUUGGGUGUAUUAAAAUAUUUUAGUCUAUCCUCAAACUUGAUUGAUAAUAUGAUUAUAGAUUUCUAGGUUAGAAAUACUUUUCUUCAGAAUUUUAAAAUUUUUUCAGUGAGUUCCCUAAACCAAUGUAUUUGUUAAGAACUCUAAGGCAAGGGGCACUUGGUGGCUUGGUGGUUGAGUGUCGGCCUUGGCCUUUGGCUCAGGUCGUGAUCCUGGGGUCCUGGGAUAGAGUCCCGCAUCCGGCUCUCUACAGGGAGCCUGCUUCUCCCUCUGCCUAUGUCUCUGCCUCUCUCUGUGUGUCUCAUGAAUAAAUAAAAUCUUUAAAAACUCUAAGGCAAAUAUUCUUUUAGAUCUUCCUAUGUGUAACCUGUAUUUUUAUUUCUUGUAGUAUUUUGUCAUUGUGCCAAGCAUUUUUUAAUUAAACAUUCAUGUGUCUUAGUUUGAGUUUAUGUUCAUCCAUUGACAAUUCCUUUCUACUAGGAAACUAAUUCUCUUCAGCUCUUAGAAAUUUUCUUGAAUUAUUUCAUGGAUAAUGGUUUUUUUCUCUCUCUCUCAAUUACUACAAAUCAAAUGGUGGGCCUCUUUAUGAUCUCUAAUAUCCUUUUUUCUCUCUCUCCUGUUUAACAUUUUCAAAUACUUUGGUAAUAUUUCCUGGAAUAUUUUCUAAACUUCACCUUCAAGCUUUUCUUGAGAUUUUCAUUUCUUUAUUACGUUCAGAUUUUAAAAGAGCCUUCUUUUUUAAAAGGAUAUUUUCAAGGGAUCCGUCUGUUUGUACUUAUUUCUUAGAUGCAAUAACUUCUUUUCUCAUCUGAUGGUAUUAAUUAUAGUUGUUUUUUCAAGUUUUCUUCUCUGCAAAUGUUUUAUCCAAUUACCUCCUUUCCUCUUUGCUUGGAUUUUGUUUCUGUUUUUCUUUUUUUAAAGAUUUUAUUUAUUCAUGAGAAACACAGAGAGGAGAGAGAGAGAGGCAGAGACACAGGCAGAGGGAGAAGCAGUCUCCAUGCAGGGAGCCUGACAUAGGACUGGAUCCAGGGUCUCCAGGAUCACGCCCUGGGCUGAAGGCGGCACUAAACCACUGAGCCACCUGGGCUGCCCAUUUCUGUUUUUCUUUUUAGAAAUUUUCUUCAGGUGUCUCAUUCAGGUGUCUGUUCUUAAUUUAGUUUGGUAGACUAAGGAGCGAAGUGGUCACUCUGAGCACGUUGGCAGGGCUUAUCCACUUUGAUAUGUACUCUUAGGUAAAUUGAAAGCACUUGAGGUUGGGAAACCCCAGUGUCAGUCUGAUUAGGUCUUUCCACUUGAGCUGGCCAGGUUACUCAAGUCUAUAAAAUCUCCUACCCAAAAGGAAAAGGCAUAGAUUGAAAAUGUAAAAGAUUGAUGGGAGAAGAGUAGUGGAGAUCCGCAUCACUCAGGAUACACUAGGUAAGGCUUCAAUAUCAAACAACUCCAAAUCUCCAUAGCUUAACACAAUGGAAGUUGAUUCCUUUCUUACACUACAUAUCUAUAAAGUUCAGCAUGGAGCCAUUAUAGUGGUCAGUCAGGGAUCCAGGCUUUUGGAGACUCCAUCUCCACCUAUGCUUUUAGGAUCACUAUAUUGGGGAAAGUAAAUGUGUUAAACCAUGCACACUCUCUUAAAGAUUUAGCCCAGAGUAAUAUUUAUCAUUUCUUUUUUUAAGAUUUUAUUUAUUUAUUCAUGAGAGCCACAGAGAGAGAGAGUCAGAGACACAGCCAGAGGGAGAAGCAGACUCCAUGCAGGGAGCCUGAUGUGGGACUCGAUCCAGGGACCCCAGGAUCACACCCUGGGAUGAAGGCAGCACUAAACCACUGAGUCACCCAGGUGCCCCUGUAUCAUUUCCUCUCAUAUUUUAUUGGCCAAAAGAAAUUACAUGGUCAUACAUAAUUUAAAGAGAAAGUAGAAUUGAAAAAAAAAUAAAGAGGAAACAAUUGAAAUUCUGCCAGGGGCGCCUGGGUGGUUAGUGUAUUAAGCAUCCAUCUCUUGAUUUCAGCUCAGGUCAUGAUCUCAAGCCCCAAGUCAGGCUCCGUGGUGCCUGCUUAAGAUUUUCUCUCUCCCUCUGGCCCCCCCCCCCACCCCGCCAUGCGAGCGCUCUCUCUAGGAAAGGAAGGGAGGGAAGGUGAGAAGGUGGGAAGGUGGGAAGGAAGGAAGGAAGGAAGGAAGGAAGGAAGGAAGGAAGGAAGGAAGGAAGGAAGGAAGGAAGUUAAUUCUGCCAUGUGUCUGAGAGGAGAACUGAAACAUCUGUAAUUGGUCCUAGUGAUUAUCAUAGCAUUUUAAUAUUAGUCAGCACUCAAUGUUUAGAUGGUCACUUAUUUCCACUACCCAUAUUACCCUGCCCUCAAUUUUGCCAGUGGAACCUCUAAUAUAAUGACUCUCCUUUUUGCUGUUAUAAGAAAUCAAAACUCCAGACUUGUCCUAGGAUCAGAGAAAUAGGUUGCUCUUGACUGCAGUGGGGAAAAGUGAUCUGUUACAUAUUUAACCACUUUUCAGGCAAUUUUUAUAUGAUCCUCCAUGUUUGGCACCUUAUCAUCAUUUCCAGAGUAUCUCAGGCUGACAGCUCUGAUGCUUCUGAGUAUCCUGAAGUUUAAAUAGGAUUGGUUCUCAGCUUUUCCCACUUCAGUAUUGGUAAUUGGUUGUCAGUC